AGUAUAAUUGACUUAAAAAUGUAAAAAAUCUAAACGAGUCUGAUAUGCUGUUUAGGUAAAAGAAACACACCGGACAAAUGUAUGUAUAAAACGAAAUGCCUUUAUUUAUACAAUUUUAAAAAAGCAAUUUAAAGCACAAAGACUUUAAUAAACAUUUUUCCUGCAUAAAAAUGAUCGCACAUUGUGCUUCCUUUGCAAAGUCUGUACAACCUCUGGGUGUGCAGCUGUUGCGAUCCAGUUCAACCAUUUAUUGCAUACACAUGAAAUACACCUCGCAUGUCAAUUUAUAACCCAAGAAUGAAAUAAAACAGAAAAAAAAGAAGAACCUGUUCUACUCUUUUCUACGGUUUCUAAACUGCAGCAGCUUGCAGAGGAAGGCUUUGCACAUAGUCCAGACUGGAAACAUUGUUUAAAAAGAGAGAGAGAUGAGAAUAAAUUAAUUAAAGAAACUAUAGUUGUGCUUUAACAUUGCUUACUCUAAGGAGUUCUCAAAUGCAAACAACGUUUGGUAAACUAAACUCGAAAAGGAGGCUGCUUUGAAACAAGGCUUUCAAAAACAGACAUAGUGUUCCAAGUCUCUCUUUUCCCUUUUGAAAUAUGUAGCACUGAGCACUAGCUCUACAUCAAGAUUUGCACACAUCCCCACUGAUAGCAGUGAUUAAUAAUACUCCCAGUUCCCUUCUAUACCCACUCCAUUUUAUACAAAUCUAGACUGAAGGUGAAAAAAAAAGCAGUAUCAAAAGGCAUUUCUUCGGAAAGAGGAGGCAUGUAACUACCACCUCAAAGUGUUCCUUUAGUCACAUCAUCUUUCCUCUUUCAUCAUCAAAAAAAAAAAAAAAAAAACUAGACAAAUGCUCCAUGGUCUUCCAAACAGCACAAUACAAAAACUAAAGUUUAAAAAAAAAAAUAACCCAAACUUUAAAGACUUUGGUACAGUAUAAAUGAAAUGUAGCUCUAUGCCUCACUCAUGCUAAUGUCUUUUCUCCUUUAAAUAUAUGUCUGUCUGUUCAUUAAGCAAUAAGUAUGAAAUGUGCAUAGUAUUAUAUGUGAGAUCUGUGUCGGUGAGACUACAAGCAACCUGAUUUUCAUGAGAAAACAUGAUUUUUAAACCAAAAAAGGUCAACACAAAAACUACGCCUCCGGUCUAAAGCACCCAUAGUUUCUAAACUCUAUCUCUGCCAAACAAAUCAGAAUCUUUCAGAUCAAACAUUCAGAAAUGCCACAUUUUUCUUCUCUGACAUUUAUUUGCUAAAAAAAAAAUCUGAAGCCAAAAGCCCACACUGGAAUGUGAACAUCUGUUUGAAAUGGUUCAGAACAGCAGGAUGCCAGAUAAUGGGAUAAAAUCCCGGCAUUUUAGCCGCUGUGGUUAGUUGAGAUUAAGAUCGACAGGAUUCAGCCAGGUGGAGCUUUUACUGCUGAGGUCAAGCAGCUGACCGCUCUGAGAAACACUGAGAAGUGACACAGCCAAAACUCUUUUGAACUCUAUCUGUAGUCUCAGACACUUGGCUGCACUAGUCAGAAGGCUGCUGAAAUGAUUUUGGGGAUGUGAGGAGACGCUUUUGGAUAAAAAACAAAACAAAACACCAACAACAAAAAAAACAGAUGCUAUAGUUUUACAUGCAAAUCAUUUCAAUAUUUUAAUGAGGAAGUACUGAUCAUUAGUAUAUAUUUAAUACAUGAAACGGCAUCUUUUUGCUUGGUUGAGAUGCAAAUUAUUCAACUAAAUGUGAAAGAAACAUUUUCAUUCUUUUGCUCCAUAUUACAGCAAUUGAUGUUACUUAUAAAAAUAAUAUAUCUAAAAAAAAAUAAUACAGCUGUCUACAAAUAAAUUUUAUAAAAGAAUCACCUGAUAAAAAAAAUGGUGAGUAAUUUAAGGAAAUGGGUUCAGCUACAAUAAACUUGCAAUCAGCAAACAAAAGUGUAAAAUUCCCUUAAAAUGAUUAAUUGCCAUUAAGGCAUGAAAGUGAGAGAAAAAACUGGAUUGAUGUAAAAAAUGAAGUCAUAAUUCAUUACAUGGCUGUAUAAACGCAUCUUCACCACACACACAUGCCACACAAGUAAAGUGCAUGACCCGUCUACAAUUUAACUGAGGUUUGACGUCUUACAGGGAUGAACA
ensembl:lncRNA